AACUAACAAGGAUUCCCCUAGUAACUGCGAGUGAAGCGGGAAAAGCUCAAAUUUAAAAUCUGGCGGUCUUUGACUGUCCGAGUUGUAAUCUAGAGAAGCAUUAUCCGCGCUGGACCGUGUACAAGUCUCCUGGAAUGGAGCGUCAUAGAGGGUGAGAAUCCCGUCUUUGACACGGACUGCCAGGGCUUUGUGAUGUGCUCUCAAAGAGUCGAGUUGUUUGGGAAUGCAGCUCAAAAUGGGUGGUAAAUUCCAUCUAAAGCUAAAUAUUGGCGAGAGACCGAUAGCGAACAAGUACCGUGAGGGAAAGAUGAAAAGAACUUUGGAAAGAGAGUUAAACAGUACGUGAAAUUGCUGAAAGGGAAACGCUUGAAGUCAGUCGCGUUGGCCAGGGAUCAACCUUGCUUUUUUGCUUGGCUUACUUCCUGGUUAAUGGGUCAGCAUCAAUUUUGACUGGUGGAAAAAGUUCAAGGGAAUGUGGCAUCUUCGGAUGUGUUAUAGCCUUUGCUCGCAUACAUCAGUUGGGAUUGAGGAACUCAGCACGCCGCAAGGCCGGGUUUUUAACCACGUACGUGCUUAGGAUGCUGGCAUAAUGGCUUUAAUCGACCCGUCUUGAAACACGGACCAAGGAGUCUAACAUGCCUGCGAGUGUUUGGGUGGAAAACCCGAGCGCGUAAUGAAAGUGAAAGUUGAGAUCCCUGUCGUGGGGAGCAUCGACGCCCGGAUCUGACCUUUUGUGACGAUUCCGCGGUAGAGCAUGUAUGUUGGGACCCGAAAGAUGGUGAACUAUGCCUGAAUAGGGUGAAGCCAGAGGAAACUCUGGUGGAGGCUCGUAGCGAUUCUGACGUGCAAAUCGAUCGUCAAAUUUGGGUAUAGGGGCGAAAGACUAAUCGAACCAUCUAGUAGCUGGUC
rnacentral:rRNA from 1 species